UACGUAGGAGGCAAGCGUUGUCCGGAUUUACUGGGCGUAAAGAGCGCGCAGGCGGUCGUUCAAGUCGAGUGUGAAAGCCCCCGGCUCAACUGGGGAGGGUCACUCGAUACUGAUCGACUCGAAGGCAGAAGAGGGAAGCGGAAUUCCCGGUGUAGUGGUGAAAUGCGUAGAUAUCGGGAGGAACACCAGUGGCGAAGGCGGCUUUCUGGUCUGCUCUUGACGCUGAGGCGCGAAAGCUAGGGUAGCAAACGGG
rnacentral:rRNA from 1 species